UUUGAUCAUGGCUCAGGACGAACGCUGGCGGCGUGCCUAAUACAUGCAAGUAGAACGCUGAAGAGAGGAGCUUGCUCUUCUUGGAUGAGUUGCGAACGGGUGAGUAACGCGUAGGUAACCUGCCUGGUAGCGGGGGAUAACUAUUGGAAACGAUAGCUAAUACCGCAUGAAAUUGCUUAUCGCAUGAUAAUUAAUUGAAAGAUGCAAUUGCAUCACUACCAGAUGGACCUGCGUUGUAUUAGCUAGUUGGUGAGGUAACGGCUCACCAAGGCGACGAUACAUAGCCGACCUGAGAGGGUGAUCGGCCACACUGGGACUGAGACACGGCCCAGACUCCUACGGGAGGCAGCAGUAGGGAAUCUUCGGCAAUGGGGGGAACCCUGACCGAGCAACGCCGCGUGAGUGAAGAAGGUUUUCGGGUCGUAAAGCUCUGUUGUAAGAGAAGAACGGGUGUGAGAGUGGAAAGUUCACACUGUGACGGUAUCUUACCAGAAAGGGACGGCUAACUACGUGCCAGCAGCCGCGGUAAUACGUAGGUCCCGAGCGUUGUCCGGAUUUAUUGGGCGUAAAGCGAGCGCAGGCGGUUAGAUAAGUCUGAAGUUAAAGGCUGUGGCUUAACCAUAGUAUGCUUUGGAAACUGUUUAACUUGAGUGCAGAAGGGGAGAGUGGAAUUCCAUGUGUAGCGGUGAAAUGCGUAGAUAUAUGGAGGAACACCGGUGGCGAAAGCGGCUCUCUGGUCUGUAACUGACGCUGAGGCUCGAAAGCGUGGGGAGCAAACAGGAUUAGAUACCCUGGUAGUCCACGCCGUAAACGAUGAGUGCUAGGUGUUAGGCCCUUUCCGGGGCUUAGUGCCGCAGCUAACGCAUUAAGCACUCCGCCUGGGGAGUACGACCGCAAGGUUGAAACUCAAAGGAAUUGACGGGGGCCCGCACAAGCGGUGGAGCAUGUGGUUUAAUUCGAUGAUACGCGAGGAGCCUUACCCGGGCUUGAAUUGCAGUCGCUGCCCACAGAGACGUGGGCUUCCCUUCGGGGCGUCUGUGAAGGUGCUGCAUGGUUGUCGUCAGCUCGUGCCGUGAGGUGUCGGCUUAAGUGCCAUAACGAGCGCAACCCCCUUUCCCAGUUGCCAUCGGGUGAUGCCGGGCACUCUGGGGACACUGCCACCGCAAGGUGCGAGGAAGGUGGGGAUGACGUCAAAUCAGCACGGCCCUUACGUCCGGGGCUACACACGUGUUACAAUGGCCGGUACAGAGGGACGGUGCAAUGCAAGUUGCAUCCAAUCUUGAAAUCCGGUCCCAGUUCGGACUGGGGUCUGCAACCCGACCCCACGAAGCUGGAUUCGCUAGUAAUCGCGCAUCAGCCAUGGCGCGGUGAAUACGUUCCCGGGCCUUGUACACACCGCCCGUC
rnacentral:rRNA from 1 species